CGGGUGAGUAACGCGUGAGGAACCUGCCUCAAAGAGGGGGACAACAGUUGGAAACGACUGCUAAUACCGCAUAAGCCCACGGGUCGGCAUCGACCAGAGGGAAAAGGAGCAAUCCGCUUUGAGAUGGCCUCGCGUCCGAUUAGCUAGUUGGUGAGGUAACGGCCCACCAAGGCAACGAUCGGUAGCCGGACUGAGAGGCUGAACGGCCACAUUGGGACUGAGACACGGCCCAG
rnacentral:rRNA from 1 species